UUGUUGUAGACAAAAUGUACACUUGAUAUCCAUAAUUUAUGGUACAAAUUGAUACAAAUUGAUAAUAGGUUAGGUAAAUGUUCCAUGAUAAUGGGUUAGGUAAAUGUUUCAUGAUAAUAGGUUAGGUAAAUGUUCCAUGAUAAUGGGUUAGGUAAAUGUUUCAUGAUAAUGGGUUAGGUAAAUGUUUCAUGAUAAGAAUAUCAUGUAUUUUGUAUUAAAGAAUUAAAUGGAUGAAAUAUGAAGUUUUAUUAAAAGAAAAGGGUGAAAAGAACAAAGUUUUGUCCAUCUUUGUUCAUCAUAGCUGAAAGUUAGAGAAGAGAAAGGAGAGGAGAAAGCUCUUGAGUAUUCGGUCAUUAGGAGGAGGAAAAUUGAAGGAAAUCCCCAACCAUAAUGGGCUUGGAGCUGUGAGGGAAUUCGGAUUGGCCACGUGUUCUGAAAGUUUGGUUUUCUUCUAGUGAACUGGACAUCCUAUUAUUUACGUUGAGGUUUGGGUUUUUAAAUGUAAUAAGGGCGCUUAAUUAUUUUUGAUGGUUUUUAUAUGUUUUAUUAAGAUAGGUAACAUUUAAAUUUAACUGUUGAAAUUGGAUAGCUUUACGGCGCGUUUUCAAAAA